CAAAAACUAUGACACUGAUCAGAAAAACCCAACCAAAGCUGUACUUGGGUUCUGUCCUUGGCUUGUGUACAACUUAGGGCUGUUUGUAAAUCUAAAUUAUCAUUGGUCCCUUCAUACAGAUAAAAAACUUAGACCUUUGUGGGUAAUGAUAAUUCUUCGCAUCUAUACAUCUCCCACCCUUCCACACUAGAACAUCCUUCAUGAAACAAAUGUAAAUUUUUACAAGUAGAUUAUUUGUGAAAGUCAACAGGCAUCAGCAAAUUUAAGAUUUGAGAAAAGCUAGCACAUAAUUUUUUAAAAACAUUGCAUAAAUACUUCAGGGGACUUUGUUAUUGAAUGAGUCAAAUACAUUUCCUUGACAUUCAAAAACCACAUUCAGUGCAGUUAAUAAUUUCUAGACUGCUGAGGGAAAGACAAUUUCAGAUAUUUUUAGGAAAAAUAUUUGAAAGCUAUAAAGAAAUAAUGCUUAUUUUAACCAAAAUUUUAAAAUUUAAGUAUGUGAUUUUGUUUUCUCCAUAGAAGCAGAGUUUUUUUUUUGUUUUGGUUUGUUUGUUUUUUGUUUUUGAGACAGAGGCUCGCUCUGUUGCCCAGGCUGGAGUGCAUUGGCGCGAUCUUGGCUCACUGCAACCUCCGCCUCCCAGGUUCAAGUGGUUCCCAUGCCUCAGCCUCCAGAGUAGCUGGGACUAGAGGCGCACACCACCACGCUCAGCUACUUUUUGUAUUUUUAGUACAGAUGGGGUUUCAUCAUGUUGGCCAGGCUGGUCUUGAACUCCUGACUUCAGGUGAUCCACCCACCUCGGCCUCCCAAAGUGCUGGGAUUACAGGCAUGAGCCACCGUGCCCAACCAGAAGCAGAAAUUAAUGUACUCAAAUUCAUAUGAAAAUUGACUUUAGCACAGUAUUUAUGACAAAGUGACUUAAUUCUAAAUGAGCUAAUGUUGUUGAUGAACACUAAUAUUCUUUGAUAAACAUAUUGAGUUUUGAAGAAUGUGUGCUACUGUAUAAGAUCAUCUGAUACUAUUUAUUUAAAAUAUCAAAGUAAUCAUAUUUCUAAUUGAACUUAUUUCAAAUCAAAAGGUGAAUAUAAAACAUACUAGCAAUUUUAAUUUGCUAUAAAAUCACUGACUUAAAAUUGAUUCUUGUUAUAGAAUGAUAUUUUCUUUUUAGAUGUGUCCACAGGGAAGAGAAUAAACAAAUGUGUCUUAAAAAUAUAAAAAACGUGGUAGGAUACAUUCAGCUAUUUCUACAAAGGCCUUUCCCAAAUCCUAUUGAUUAUUCCCCCUUACUUGUAUUCACAUAUCACUUAACACUUAUGUCCCCAGUAUUUGUUUGGUGAUUAAUCAUGUGCUGUCUACCAGUAACUCUUUUGUUAGGUGUUCUUUAUUGCAAAUGUCUCUCAUCUCCUCUACAUAACUAUAUCUAUUAUAAGAUCUUAGAAAGCAGAGAACGUAUCUUUCUCAUACUUCCUUCUUCCUUAUCUUAUACCUGAUAAGCCUUAAUACAAGUCUGAUUAUUGAAUGUAAGAAAGUUUAAUUCAAAACAAUGAUCUGGUUUUCAUACCCCUCCCUAUUUAAAUUAAUACACACCCAUAUCACAAACACACAAUACCAUUUGUUAGCAAUCUUGCUUUCAUUCGGAUGGUUAUGAUGUCUGUGAUCAGAGAUAUAAGCAAAAGAUUUCAUGGUUCCCCAAUCCCCCUGCUGCCUCAUCAGUAUGUUAGUGUUGGCUUUUGGCCAGUGAUAUCCCUGUUUUAAGUCUUACUUACUUUUCUUUCCUUGCUCCUUCCUACAGGUUAGGUCAUCUAUUAUUUUCAAGGUUACCUGCAAAAUAUAUUUAGCUCUACAAAAAUAGAUGAUAUCAUUUCCUAUAAUUAAUAAGAAUUACUGAGAGAGGCUACUUAAAGAAUUAAAGAAAAAAUUGAUUUUCUUUAAGUUUUACCCAUACUUAAUGGAUAUUUAAACUGCUGAUCCUUUUCUCUUUCAUGGUGUUUUCUCAGUCAAGAUUUCCUUAACUACAACUUUAGGUGUAUUUUCAUGAGCACUCACCAGGGUGAUUUAGACAGGAAUGUGUCUAUAGGCCAGGCACAGGACUAUAUGAUUUUUCCCUUGUCUGACCAACGCUGAAGCUAACUGCAAAUAUUACUGGGACUUUCAAUUAUAUACCUUGAAGGUAUUUGUAUAGAUUAAAGGAAAUGAUCUACCAUAAAAUAGAAGCUCAAUAAAUGAAUGUCCCCCUUCUCUUUUUCAAAAAGGAAAUAAAGGAGGAGAAGCACACACCACACCUUGCACUGGAUGAAAGGGCGCAAAAGCACAAAGAUGGGUAUUCGGGUC